rnacentral:rRNA from 1 species
AGCGAACGCUGGCGGCAGGCCUAACACAUGCAAGUCGAACGGAUCCUUCGGGAUUAGUGGCGGACGGGUGAGUAACACGUGGGAACGUGCCUUUUGGUUCGGAACAACUCAGGGAAACUUGAGCUAAUACCGGAUAAGCCUUUCGAGGGAAGAUUUAUCGCCAUUAGAGCGGCCCGCGUAGGAUUAGCUAGUUGGUGGGGU